UACUUGGGCAAUCUGCCCUCGAGAGGGAAACAACCUGCCGAAAGGUGGGCUAAUAUCCCGUAAGACCACAGGAUGGCAUCAUCUAGGGGUCAAAGCUCCGCAAGGGGCGCUUGAGGAGGAGCCUGAGGCCUAUCAUGGUAGUUGGCGGGGUAACGGCCCACCAAGCCUUUGACGGGUAGCCGGCCUGAAAGGGUGAUCGGCCACACUGGCACUGAGACACGGGCCAG
rnacentral:rRNA from 1 species